rnacentral:lncRNA from 1 species
GAUGCGCGCCACUCGCCGGAACUUGGCGUCCGCCUGCGCGUCCCGCCCGAUGGUGUAGGAGCCGCGGUAGCCGAUGGUGAUGUAGCCCGAGCGCCGGCUGCCGUCCAGCGACUGGGACGGCGUGAGCAGCGGGCCCGCCGCGCCCCCAGAUGGACUGCGGCUAGCAAGCUCCAACGUGGGCGAGGGCGCCCCGGCAGAGGCGCCCUCCUGCUGUUCAGGCUCCGCGUAGCCGAGCGGCAGCAGCUCGUCUCCCAGCGAGCCCUCCUUGUGCACCCCGCGCCGCGAGGGCGGCGGCCCCAAGCCGGGCUGCUGGGGCGCCCCGAGGCGGCGCACGAGCUCUGGCAGCUCGAAGUACUCGGCCUCGCGCUGCAGCCGGCUGCGCUCGGGGAAGUAGUCGGGAAGCACAAGCUGCAAGUCCCGCAGGUAAUCCAGGAUGUAGCGGAAGAGGAAGCCGUCCCGGUCCAGAAAGAAGCGGCCUUUGCUGUCCCGGGCCAGCUCCUGCGGCUGCUGCUGCGUGAACAUGCGCCAGAGCAGCGAGUCGGGCACCGACACCACCGUGCAGCGCCGGGUCACGUACACCUGGCCCCCCACGUUCAGCUCCACGAUGUCGGGAAGAGCGGCGGCUCCGCGGAGGACGACGAGGAGCCGCUGCCGCCGCCGCCGCCGCCCCCGUUGGGUAAUCCACGUGUGCUGUCCGCCAGAGCCAUGACAGAGAGGUGGCUGGGCCGGGACAGUGGCGGGGAGCCGCGCUACACUCAAGAACUGCAGCCGCCUUCCCCGGAGCCCCAAAGCCCGGACGCUCGCUCAGCCCUGCGCCCCGCCGCCACCUCUGAAAGCCGCGCUGAGCCGAGCAGUGCGAGCGCGCCGCUGUGCGCCCUCGUGAGCUCCAGUGCGCUCCGCCCGCCUUGCCCGCGCGCUCCAGGCGAGUGCUGGGUCGCGGCCCGCGCGCUGCUUAAGUAGAGCCGCCGGCUCUGGUGCCGUGGCGCGCAGGAGGCGUGGGCGGCGGCGGAGCCUAGCUUACCCGGCGGGUGGAGGGGGGAGCGGGGACUCGAUUUGCAUCUUAAACGCGGACGCCACGCGGGGCUGCUGGCUCCACCCCGGCUCGCGAUCGCUGGGGGCGCCCGGACUGCCACCCGUCCCCCACCCACCAGCCCCGCCCUGUGGUCCCGCCCAACUUUCUCCCUCUUCCAAAGAGGACCCGCCUGAGACUUGGCGGCUUCGGAAGACAGCUCCUUGGAGGGACAAUCACUGCGCCCCCUCCCCUCUCGCCCCAGCCCGCACCCAGGGACUCUGGAAGGAGGACCUGAACUUUCUGGAGCCUCCCGCCCCGGGAGUGGAAAUGCGGGGCAGCCUCCGGCCCUCCCGCUUGCGGAACUGGCCGCUUCCAGCAGUGCAGCUGCAGCCUGCCAUCGUCGGUUGUCGUGUCACUGAAAGUAGAGAGACGCGAAAAACCUGGAGAGACGAAAGGGCCGCCCCAGUCCGAGCGCAGCCAGAUUUUGUUCAAGUUGCCUUGCAGCCAGCCUGGAAGAAGGAAAAAAAAAAAA